ACCCACACAUAUCGGUCAAACUUAUAACUCACCUUUUUUUCGUUCAAGGGUUAAAAAUAUGAAAAAAUGUGACAAU